AACGAACGCUGGCGGCAGGCCUAACACAUGCAAGUCGAGCGCCCCGCAAGGGGAGCGGCGGACGGGUGAGUAACGCGUGGGAACGUACCCUUUGCUACGGAAUAGCCUCGGGAAACUGGGAGUAAUACCGUAUGUGCCCUUCGGGGGAAAGAUUUAUCGGCAAAGGAUCGGCCCGCGUUGGAUUAGGUAGUUGGUGGGGUAAUGGCCUACCAAGCCGACGAUCCAUAGCUGGUUUGAGAGGAUGAUCAGCCACACUGGGACUGAGACACGGCCCAGACUCCUACGGGAGGCAGCAGUGGGGAAUCUUAGACAAUGGGGGCAACCCUGAUCUAGCCAUGCCGCGUGAGUGAUGAAGGCCUUAGGGUUGUAAAGCUCUUUCAGCUGGGAAGAUAAUGACGGUACCAGCAGAAGAAGUCCCGGCUAACUCCGUGCCAGCAGCCGCAGUAAAGUACAGUGU
rnacentral:rRNA from 1 species